GCUACGGGUGGCAGCAGUGAGGAAUAUUGGUCAAUGGCCGGGAGGCUGAACCAGCCAAGUCGCGUGAGGGAAGACGGCCCUACGGGUUGUAAACCUCUUUUGUCAGGGAGCAAGGUGCAGGUCGGGACCUGCUGUGAGAGUACCUGAAGAAAAAGCAUCGGCUAACUCCGUGCCAGCAGCCGCGGUAAUACGGAGGUGGCAAGCGUUGUUCGGAAUAACUGGGCGUAAAGGAUGCGUAGGCGGUUAAACAAGUUAUAUGUUAAAUAUAUAGGCUUAACCUGUAGAAAGCAUAUAAAACUGUUUAACUAGAGUGCAGGAGAGGUAAGUGGAAUUCCUAGUGUAGCGGUGAAAUGCGUAGAGAUUAGGAAGAACACCAGUGGCGAAGGCGACUUACUGGACUGUAACUGACGCUGAGGCAUGAGAGCAUGGGGAGCAAACAGGAUUAGAUACCCGAGUAGUC
rnacentral:rRNA from 1 species